ACGGGGCGCAGCAGGCGCGAAAACUUUACAAUGCAGGAAACUGUGAUAAGGAGACACCGAGUGCUCGCAUCAAAUGCGGGCUGUCCGCUUACUUAAAUCGUAAGCGUUAGCAAGGACCGGGCAAGACCGGUGCCAGCCGCCGCGGUAAUACCGGUGGUCCGAGUGGUAGCCGCUUUUAUUGGGUCUAAAGGGUCCGUAGCCUGUUCGGUCAGUCCAUUGGGAAAUCCGGAUGCUCAACAUCCGGGCUUCCAGUGGAUACUGCCGGACUUGGGAUCGGGGGAGGUAAGAGGUACUACAGGGGUAGGAGUGGAAUCUUGUAAUCCUUGUGGGACCACCUGUGGCGAAGGCGUCUUACCAAAACGAGUCCGACGGUGAGGGACGAAAGCUGGGGGCACGAACCGGAUUAGAUACCCGGGUAGUCCCAGCCGUAAACGAUGCUCGCUAGGUGUCAGGCAUGGCGUGACUGUGUCUGGUGCCGAAGGGAAGCCGUGAAGCGAGCCACCU
rnacentral:rRNA from 1 species